rnacentral:rRNA from 1 species
UACGUAGGGUGCAAGCGUUGUCCGGAUUCAUUGGGCGUAAAGGGCUAGUAGGCGGCUUAGCAAGUCGGGUGUGAAAUUUCCAGGCUUAACCUGGAACCGCCAUCCGAUACUGCUAUGGCUAGAGUCCGGUAGGGGACCACGGAAUACCUGGUGUAGCGGUGAAAUGCGCAGAUAUCAGGUGGAACACCGAUGGCGAAGGCAGUGGUCUGGGCCGGCACUGACGCUGAAUAGCGAAAGCGUGGGUAGCGAACAGG